CCAUUUCUUCCCACCUUCUACUCCCAGGUAAGAGGCAUGAGCAAAUCACUUAGCUUCUGCCUCCUAGGUAGUUUCUAAAAAAGCCACCGUUCCUGCAGGCAUGCCAAAACUUUGUUCUCCCCUGUUUGUCUUUUUUUGGGGGUGGGGGGCGUAAUUUGAGAUCUUCUUCAAGGGGGUUUCCUAUUUGCAAAAAUCUACAAGAAGUAGCAUUAAUUUUCCGGAAGUAAGUAUUGCUAACACAGAGUUAGGACUGUCCAGAUCGUCAGAGUUUCUUGGUGACGCUUUUACAGUAGCCAUUCUCAACUCGGGAGAUUUUCAAACAUCUGAGUGUCUUGCAUUUCGCGACCCUGCAGUACUCUGCUUUUGAAAAGCAGGAGGCCUACUCCUGCUGCUGUUUAUGUGACUGCUUCUUAGCACGCUGCUGUUCCUGCUCCCGCGGCUGCUCGCCUAUGAUUGCCUUCUUCACAAUGCACAGGCUGACAGCAGCAUCCUGGAUUCACUGUUACCUCUGUAACGUUUUGGGCAUAUCUGAUUUGCUACUUCUCCCUCCUCCCCUGACCCUGAAAAAUGACUGAGUCUAGACUCGAAUUCACUGUGGAUUCCUAGGACUACAGAAACAUCCUCCAAACCGUCAGAUGCUUUGUCCUGCAGUAGGUAUUUCACAUGAAUUGUAAGGAGGAUCGCCAGAGUGGCCUCAGGACCUGACUCGCUCAAGCACUGCGGCGCACAGUUGUUUGGUGCUCGCUGGCAAAUGUUCAUUUUCUGGGUUAAAGCAUGUUAAAUAAACAUAACU
ensembl:lncRNA novel transcript